ensembl:snRNA U12 U12 minor spliceosomal RNA
AUGCCUUAAACUUAUGAGUAAGGAAAAUAACGAUUCGGGGUGACGCCCGGAUCCUCACUGCUAAUGUGAGACGAAUUUUUGAGCGGGUAAAGGUUGUCCCCUAAGGUGACCUGCCUACUUUGCGGGAUGCCUGGGAGGUGCGAUCUGCCCG